CCCAUUUGUAAAUAACAGCUGUUUUUUGGUUUUCACAAAUUUCCUAAUUCCCUUAAUACUUGCACUUCGCUUCCUGGUCUGUUAUUAUUAAGGAGGAUUAUUUUUGUUCGGUAUGCAAGGAAAGAACAUGCACUGCUUGAUUCGCCUGGAUUAACUGAAACAAGAAUAGUAACAAAUUGUGUGGAUAUCACACUAGGAGGCAACAAAAAUGGAAAACGGUAAAGUAAAAUGGUUCAACGCAGAAAAAGGUUUCGGAUUCAUCGAGCGUGAAGGUGGAGAGGACGUUUUCGUACACUUCUCAGCUAUCCAAGGCGAAGGCUUCAAGUCUCUUGAAGAAGGCCAAGAAGUAUCUUUCGACGUUGAGCAAGGUGCUCGUGGACCUCAAGCAGCUAACGUUACAAAAUUAUAAUAACGGAUUAGCCCAUACAAACAAGCCCUGAUCUGAUCAGGGCUUGUUUU
rnacentral:sRNA from 1 species